GGUUAAGCGACUAAGCGUACACGGUGGAUGCCCUGGCAGUCAGAGGCGAUGAAGGGCGUGCUAAUCUGCGAUAAGCGCCGGUAAGGUGAUAUGAACCGUUAUAACCGGCGAUACCCGAAUGGGGAAACCCAGUGUGACUCGUCACACUAUCAUUAACUGAAUCCAUAGGUUAAUGAGGCGAACCGGGGGAACUGAAACAUCUAAGUACCCCGAGGAAAAGAAAUCAACCGAGAUUCCCCCAGUAGCGGCGAGCGAACGGGGAGGAGCCCAGAGCCUGAAUCAGCAUGUGUGUUAGUGGAAGCGUCUGGAAAG
rnacentral:rRNA from 5 species